rnacentral:rRNA from 1 species
UCCAGACUCCUACGGGAGGCAGCAGUGGGGAAUAUUGCACAAUGGGGGGAACCCUGAUGCAGCGACGCCGCGUGGGUGAAGAAGUCAUUCGUGACGUAAAGCCCUAUCAGCAGGGAAGAAAAUGACGGUACCUGACUAAGAAGCCCCGGCUAACUACGUGCCAGCAGCCGCGGUAAUACGUAGGGGGCAAGCGUUAUCCGGAUUUACUGGGUGUAAAGGGAGCGUAGACGGCGGCGCAAGUCCGGAGUGAAAGCCCACGGCCCAACCGUGGGACUGCUCUGGAAACUGGGCGGGUUGAGUGCGGGAGGGGCAGGCGGAAUUCCUAGGGUAGCGGUGAAAUGCGUAGAUAUUAGGAGGAACACCGGCGGCGAAGGCGGC